UACGUAGGGGGCAAGCGUUGUCCGGAUUUAUUGGGCGUAAAGCGCGCGUAGGCGGCCCGGUAAGUCCGUUGUGAAAGUCAAAGGCUCAACCUUUGAACGCCGAUGGAUACUGCCGGGCUAGAGUCCGGAAGAGGCGAGUGGAAUUCCUGGUGUAGCGGUGGAAUGCGCAGAUAUCAGGAGGAACACCAAUAGCGAAGGCAGCUCGCUGGGACGGUACUGACGCUGAGACGCGAAAGCGUGAGGAGCGAACAGG
rnacentral:rRNA from 1 species